ACUUACCUUGCCGAUGGAAAAGUCGCAGGCCUGUAGCAACUCGCCGCGACGAUAUCACGCCACCUCCCGCCUGCGCCUACGGCCUACGAGAAGGACUCAAGAUGUCUUCUCCUCCCUGUCGCAUCUCUUCUUCUUGCUCACGGCUCCACUCUUCAACGGUUAUCUCUAGAUGAUGAUAAAUAUAGCCCAUGGAAUGGAAUUAGAAUUUUCAUUGUGAUUUGUGAAUUUGAGCUUUGGUUGUCUUGUCUAUUGAUCACUGUGCUUCCUCCGUUCCUCGCCGGCGUCGCUGCCGGAAAACGCUCGUCCGCAUCCUCGAAUGCUCGCUUCCCUCUGAAACAUCUAGUGUUUCAAUUUAUAGUUUAGGUGUUGUCAGAUGAGGUGCUUAACUUAACGACCUAGGAUAUUUCCAUUAAUAUUGAAAACUAUCAUAUUUCAGGUAACAGGUAGAUGAGUCUUGGAUGCUUGGAGAGAUGUCGGCUGCCAGUCCUGGGUCCUGCGUUUUAUCGGUUUUAUUUCCUCUUUACUUGUAUUUUGAGCAUACAACGAUGUUAGUAUUGUAUGAAUUGGUCUGUGUUUGAUUCAAGGUGUUUUUGCUUUUCGUGAUCUUGUGAUUGUGUAAGCUUAAUUAGCUAGUAAUCUUUAGUGGUGGAUUAUGAGUUUUCUCUUCA